GAUGAACGCUGGCGGCGUGCCUAAUACAUGCAAGUCGAGCGAACAGACGAGGAGCUUGCUCCUCUGACGUUAGCGGCGGACGGGUGAGUAACACGUGGAUAACCUACCUAUAAGACUGGGAUAACUUCGGGAAACCGGAGCUAAUACCGGAUAAUAUAUUGAACCGCAUGGUUCAAUAGUGAAAGACGGUUUUGCUGUCACUUAUAGAUGGAUCCGCGCCGCAUUAGCUAGUUGGUAAGGUAACGGCUUACCAAGGCAACGAUGCGUAGCCGACCUGAGAGGGUGAUCGGCCACACUGGAACUGAGACACGGGCCAGACUACUACGGGAGGCAGCAGUAGGGAAUCUUCCGCAAUGGGCGAAAGCUUGACGGAGCAACGCCGCGUGAGUGAUGAAGGUCUUCGGAUCGUAAAACUCUGUUAUUAGGGAAGAACAAAUGUGUAAGUAACUAUGCACGUCUUGACGGUACCUAAUCAGAAAGCCACGGCUAACUACGUG
rnacentral:rRNA from 1 species